CACAAUGUGCUCAAACUUUGGGGUUAGUGACCGCAAUAUUUUCUCCAUAAUUCUUACAUCCUCCAAUUUUUCUACCAUUUCUUUUCAUUUGAUUAGAUACCGCCAAGACUACUUGAAAAUAAUCCGAAAUUGACUCGGACUCUUUCAUAUGCAAAGACUCAAACUCUCCUCUUAAAGUUUGAAGUCGUACCUUUUUUACUUGCUCCGCUCCUUUGCACGCGUUCUGGAGCUUCUCCCACGCUUCUUUG
rnacentral:lncRNA from 1 species